GCGGAUGUGGCGGAACCGGCAGACGCGCUAGAUUCAGGUUCUAGUGGGCAUUGCGCCCGUGCAGGUCAAGUCCUGUCAUCCGCA
rnacentral:tRNA from 1 species